GACUGUCGUUCUGUUUGUUUGCUUCUGUCUCUGGUUCUGUCUCUGACUGUCUCUCUCUUUGUCCUGUCUGUCUCUCUCACUAUCUCUCUGCGUCUGUUUGUCUGUCUCUCUCAUGUUCUCUGUCUCUUACUGUCUGAGGGUGAGAGUAAGACAGUUACAGUCUGUGUGUGUGUGUGUGUGUGUGUGUGUGUGUGUUUCAGGUGUUUGACAGCGCUGCAGGAGAACACUUGGGCUCAGUUCCUCCGUACAGCAGAGAGAGACUGGACGCUCUGGCUGACGGUUACUCGCUGGCUCCACCCGAUGGCAGUCAGUGGGACGGAGGAGGCGUGGCGGAGAAGCCGGUGUGGGUUUACAUGCCCGACUAUCAGGCGGUCACGGUGGCUCUGAGCGAACAGCACACGGUCACGGAGCUCCUGAACACGGCCUGCAAGGCGCGGAACCUGGACCCCAGCGUACACUGCCUGCGUCUGCGC
ensembl:lncRNA